UUUGCCUACGGGAGGCAGCAGUGAGGAAUAUUGGUCAAUGGGCGGAAGCCUGAACCAGCCAAGUCGCGUGAGGGAAGAAGGCCCUGCGGGUCGCAGACCUCUUUGGACGGGGAGCAAGGCCGCCGACGGGUCGGCGGAAGGAGAGUACCCGGAGAACAAGCAUCGGCUAACUCCGUGCCAGCAGCCGCGGUAAUACGGAGGAUGCGAGCGUUAUCCGGAUUUUUUGGGUUUAAAGGGUGCGCAGGCGGCACGGC
rnacentral:rRNA from 1 species